GAUGAACGCUGGCGGCGUGCCUAAUACAUGCAAGUCGAGCGAACGGACGAGAAGCUUGCUUCUCUGAUGUUAGCGGCGGACGGGUGAGUAACACGUGGAUAACCUACCUAUAAGACUGGGAUAACUUCGGGAAACCGGAUCUACUACCGGCUAAUAUUUUGAACCGCAUGGUUCAAAAGUGAAAGACGGUCUUGGUGUCACUUAUAGCUGGAUCCGCGCUGCAUUAGCUAGUUGGUAAGGUAACGGCUUACCAAGGCAACGAUGCAUAGCCGACCUGAGAGGGUGAUCGGCCACACUGGAACUGAGACACGGUCCAGACUCCUACGGGAGGCAGCAGUAGGGAAUAUUCGGCAAUGGGCGAAAGCCUGACGGAGCAACGCCGCGUGAGUGAUGAAGGUCUUCGGAUCGUAAAACUCUGUUAUUAGGGAAGAAAAGAUGUGGAAGUAACUGUGCACAUCUUGACGGCACCUAAUCAGAAAGCCACGGCUAACUACGUG
rnacentral:rRNA from 1 species